CCUACGGGAGGCAGCAGUGAGGAAUAUUGGUCAAUGGACGAGAGUCUGAACCAGCCAAGUAGCGUGAAGGAUGACUGCCCUAUGGGUUGUAAACUUCUUUUAUAUGGGAAUAAAACGUUCCACGUGUGGGAUUUUGUAUGUACCAUAUGAAUAAGGAUCGGCUAACUCCGUGCCAGCAGCCGCGGUAAUACGGAGGAUCCGAGCGUUAUCCGGAUUUAUUGGGAUUAAAGGGAGCGUAGGUGGAUUGUUAAGUCAGUUGUGAAAGUUUGCGGCUCAACCGUAAAAUUGCAGUUGAAACUGGCAGUCUUGAGUACAGUAGAGGUGGGCGGAAUUCGUGGUGUAGCGGUGAAAUGCUUAGAUAUCACGAAGAACUCCGAUUGCGAAGGCAGUUCACUGGACUGCAACUGACACUGAGGCUCGAAAGUGUGGGUAUCAAACAGGAUUAGAUACCCUUGUAGUC
rnacentral:rRNA from 1 species